UUCUGUCUCUGUGGAAACAAAAAGUGCUUUCUAAGUAGGGAUGACAGAACCAACAGGGGGUACAAGUAGAGGGAAUGAUUUGGGAGAGGCCCCAGAUCUGUGGUUCUUCACCAGGCUGCUGCAAGAUCCUUUCCCGGGUGCCAGCAAUAUGGAACUGCCUCAUGCAUCUCUGUUUCCAGGACACACUGGGAAGCAGCAGUGGCAGGAGAGGGCAGUUC